CAUAGUUUGCAAUGGUGUUUGAGAGAUGGCUUGCGCUUCUUGCAUCUGGUUCAUUUCUAGCUCUUCCAAUCUCCUUUCCAUAGCUGCAAUUUCUGCCUUCAUGUUCAUACCAUCAUUCAAAAUAUACAUCUCACCCUUAGCUUUAGGUUGAGACUUCAUUCUCCCCAUAUCUCGAGCAUUUGGUUCAUCCCAUCCUCUUGAGACUUCAGCCACAUAACUCAUGAAGUUCAUAGCUUCCUCUGCUAUGGUAUUCAAUAUGGCAUGCACAACUAGUAAAUUGUGAAUUAAAAACAGAGAACACAAAAGAAAACAAAAGAAAAACAAUUCAAAGAAAGAAAAUUAAGGUAAACUAAAAACUAAAUAAAAGGUAUACUAAAACAUGAACAAUAAAGAAAUAAAAAGAGUUAGUUAAAGGAAAAGAAAAGUCACCAAACUUGUGAUGAAGAUCACAAGUACUCUAGAAAGGUGAUAUCACUGUAAAGUGGCACCACCCCC
rnacentral:lncRNA from 1 species